UUAGAAUUGAUUUGAUAAUCAACUGUAGUUAGUUUUCCUCUCUCAUUUUGUAUUUUCUGGACACGCUGCCACCUUGCAGACAUCAUAACCUGCAUUUGGUUUCGACUCGUAGACAAAACACAAAAGUUAUUUUGAGUAAUUGAAUAAUUGUGAUAAUAAUUUAGCUAUGCUAUGGUGUUAUGUUCUAUUGCUAGUCUCCUACUUUUUUGUCACUCAACAUGACACAAAAUCUAGUGCACCGUCGUUUCAGUUUAAAAAACCCACAACAGGAAAUAAACAAUUUUCGUGCCCCAACUGUAAUUGGCCAUCGACUACUAACAUCACGAAGCUUCAUAAGCGUAUUUACAAAGCGCGCAAAAAGGUUCUCCCUUUCAUCAAUGAGGAGCUGAACAAAAUGAGGAAAAUAAAAACAAAUCAGACGAAUUUUGUCCAUGGAAAGAAACCAGUUACCGUGUAUUUAUCUUCAAAAUAUUGAAAAGUUAAACUCUAGGCGGAGGACCAGUCGAAAAAUUUAUCCAAGAGCGGAGGUUUUAAGAUUUUGACCUGAUAAUCCGAGAUCAUAGUAUCGCUUCAAGAUGGAAUGAUCGAUCAAGAGUUGAAGAUUUAUAACACGCUAAAUCCAACCCAUCUUGAUUUGAAAUAAAUACCAAGAAGAUUUGAAUUUUGUUUAAGAAUCAUAUUCCUCAACUUGAUCGUAAAAUUACAUGGGGGAAAAAAUCCUCUCACACUUGGUGAAAAACCCACAGCUCAUUUAAAAUGUUUAUUUAAGUGAUUAGAAAUUUAUUGAAUGGCACAUCAAGGUUUGACUUUAUGUAGAUAUUAAUUCUUGCUGCUGUGCUAAUUGAGCUGCUUUUGAUUCGAUUAAGAUUUUUUAUUUAUUUAUUUAUUUAUUUAUUUUGUUAAAUAUUUUUGUCUCCAUCAAAGAUAAAAAGUCAAAUCAAUUGUCAAGUGUUGAAUUUUACUUUAUUAAGACCGACAUGAAGCUGAAUUUUUAUUUUAUUAGUACGAUUUGUUAAUGUAUUUUUCAUCGCCUGGUGAAAAUGUGGCAUUUUCAAUCAAAUUCCUUAUGUGCGAUGUAUCGAGAAAUUGAAAUGAAAUAAAAACAAUCAAAUAAA